AGAGUUUGAUUUUGGCUCAGGAUGAACGCUGGCGGCGUGCUUAACACAUGCAAGUCGAGCGAAGCGAUUUGACGGAAGUUUUCGGAUGGAAGUCAGAUUGACUGAGCGGCGGACGGGUGAGUAACGCGUGGGUAACCUGCCUCAUACAGGGGGAUAACAGUUAGAAAUGACUGCUAAUACCGCAUAAGCGCACAGUAUCGCAUGGUACGGUGUGAAAAACUCCGGUGGUAUGAGAUGGACCCGCGUCUGAUUAGCUAGUUGGUGGGGUAACGGCCUACCAAGGCGACGAUCAGUAGCCGACCUGAGAGGGUGACCGGCCACACUGGGACUGAGACACGGCCCAGACUCCUACGGGAGGCAGCAGUAGGGAAUUUUCGGCAAUGGGGGAAACCCUGACCGAGCAACGCCGCGUGAAGGAAGAAGGUUUUCGGAUUGUAAACUUCUGUUAUAAAGGAAGAACGGCGGCUACAGGAAAUGGUAGCCGAGUGACGGUACUUUAUUAGAAAGCCACGGCUAACUACGUGCCAGCAGCCGCGGUAAUACGUAGGUGGCAAGCGUUAUCCGGAAUUAUUGGGCGUAAAGAGGGAGCAGGCGGCAGCAAGGGUCUGUGGUGAAAGCCUGAAGCUUAACUUCAGUAAGCCAUAGAAACCAGGCAGCUAGAGUGCAGGAGAGGAUCGUGGAAUUCCAUGUGUAGCGGUGAAAUGCGUAGAUAUAUGGAGGAACACCAGUGGCGAAGGCGACGAUCUGGCCUGCAACUGACGCUCAGUCCCGAAAGCGUGGGGAGCAAAUAGGAUUAGAUACCCUAGUAGUCCACGCCGUAA
rnacentral:rRNA from 1 species